GGACUACUAGGGUUUCUAAUCCUGUUUGCUACCCACGCUUUCGCGCCUCAGCGUCAGAUAUUGCCCAGUCUGCUGCCUUCGCCAUGGGUGUUCCUCCCGAUAUCAACGCAUUUCACCGCUACACCGGGAAUUCCACAGACCUCUGCAAUCCUCCAGUCUGCCAGUAUGCAGAGCAGUUUCCGGGUUGAGCCCUGGAGAUUUCACUCUACACUUAACAGACCGCCUACGCGCUCUUUACGCCCAGUAAAUCCGGACAACGCUUGCACCCUACGUCUUACCGCGGCUGCUGGCAC
rnacentral:rRNA from 1 species